rnacentral:rRNA from 1 species
GAUUUAAUCGUGAAACCGCGAAUGGCUCAUUAUAACAGCUAUAAUUUACUUGAUCUUGACACAAUCCUACUUGGAUAACUGUGGCAAUUCUAGAGCUAAUACAUGCAUUAAAGCUCUGACCUUACGGAACGAGUGCAUUUAUUAGAACAAAACCAAGCGGCUUCGGCUGUUUUCGGUUGACUCACAAUAACUGAGCUGAUCGCAUGGUCUUGCACCGGCGAGUGUCUUUCAAGUAUCUGCCGUAUCAACUUUCGAUGGUAGUGUAUCUGACUACCAUGGUGAUCACGCGUAACGGAGAAUAAGGGUUCGGCUCCGGAGAGUUCGCCUGAGAAAUCGCGAACACAUCUAAGGAAGGCAGCAGGCGCGAAAAUUACCCACUCUCAGAAUGAGGAGGUAGUGACGAAAAAUAACGAGACCGUUCUCUUACGAGGCCGGUCAUCGGAAUGGGUACAAUUUAAACCCUUUAACGAGUAUCUAUGAGAGGGCAAGUUUGGUGCCAGCAGCCGCGGUAAUUCCAGCUCUCAAAGUGCAUAGAAUUAUUGCUGCGGUUAAAAAGCUCGUAGUUGGGUCUGUGCCAUAGGACUGUGUCCACCUUCGGGUGCGUACAUAGUUCCUAGGCUUUUUGCCGGUUUUCCCGUCGUAGCCUUCAUUGGUUGCGGCGGGUGGCUGGCGAGUUUACUUUGAGAAAAUCAGAGUGCUCAAUACAGGCGUGUUGCUUGAAUGAUUGUGCAUGGAAUAAUAGAAAAGGAUUUCGGUCCUCUUUUAUUGGUUUUGUGGACUGAGAUAAUGGUUAACAGGGACAAACGGGGGCAUUCGUAUCGCUGCGUGAGAGGUGAAAUUCUUGGACCGUAGCGAGACGCCCUACUGCGAAAGCAUUUGCCAAGAAUGA